UCCAAGCCAGACAGAGCCAAGCUCAGGAUGGACUCCUGAGCUUCACUUCUACCACUACACUAGACUGAAGACCUCCUGAGACCAGGUUCUGAUGCAGGCUGGGACCCCUUGAACCACCAGUUAAUGAGCAAAGACCAGCCUGAGCGAUGAAUGUCCACUUACUCAUGAAAGGCAUGGGGAAAAGUGAGAUGUGUACUUAACAAAGUGGGCGUGAGAACACAUGGCACAAACCAUUUUUAUUUUAUUCUUCAAUCAAUGGCAAUGUUUUGGUUCCUGCAGCUUCUGCCAACUGGGGGCUGAGAAUCCAUGACAGUCAGUUGGGCAAUUCUUUGGAAGAAUGAAGCCAUACAGCCUUCAUCAAUACUGUCUAUUUGAGUGGACAUCUCCCCAAAGGAGAACCCUACCCACUGCUGGUGAAGACACAACUUGAGCACAACAUAGUUCGGAGGAGGUUUCUUGGGAUUCGCCCAGCUCAUUUUUUUCUGAUCCUCAAUUUUUUUUUUUUUUUGUACCAGGGAUUGAACCCAGGGGUGCUUAAUCAUUCAGCCACAUGUCCAGCUCUUUUAAUAUUUUAUUUAGAGACAGGAUCUCGCUAAGUUGCUUAGGGCUUUGCUAAGUUUCUCAGGCUGCCUGCUGGGAUUGAUCCUCAAAUUUUUUGAAAGCAUUACUCUUAAAUGAAAAAUGAUUUGGUGGUCAGUCAGAAAUUAUUCUGUUUUGAACAAAGAUAUUUGGCUGCUGCUUCACUUUUCUCUUUUUUCUUUUUCAUGGUGUUAGGGAAUGAAUCCAGGGCCUUGUGUGUGCUAGGCAAGUGCUCUAACACAGCUCCGUCUUCAACCACUGAUGUUUUGCUUUCUCUAAGUCAGCUGUGCUAGGUCAUGGUGUCUGUCCAGGAUUUCCUUAUAAGACUUAAUGCUGUAAAUGAUAUGCUCCAAAUGAAAGAGCUGGACUUUGUGCUUGUCUCCUGUAUCACUUUAAAUCAAAACAACUAUGAACUCUGAAAUUAAUGUGAAAUAAUUAGAAUAGCACAUUAUGAAUCAGAUAAUGUACUCUGACAUGAUACUUGUAUAAUGCUAGUUUUGACAAAAUGUAGUAAGUUAAAAUCAUGUUGUUAUUGGUCCUAUUACAAUAGGUCAUAGAAGCCAGAACAAGGAUGAUAGGUAGUCCUUGCAGGGUAAAGUGAGAGUGGAGCCCAGUACCCAGUUAUAAAGCGUGAUUUCCCUUAGAGCUUCACCAUCUGGUAAGCACUGUAUCUCUGAGUAUAGUCCAGCAUUUAUACUCGUUUAUUCCAGAUUGCUAAAUGUAUAGAUGGUUGCUGAAAUCUGUAGGCAUGAAAAAUCCAUUAUGUCUAUAUAUAAAUCUAUCUAUCCAUCCACCCAUCUCUUACCUAUACAGAAGAUAGAGUUGAA
rnacentral:lncRNA from 1 species